AACGCAAAUUGCGCUCUCGGGAUAGGCCUGAGAGCACGCCUCUUUGAGUAUCGAUUCCACCAUCUCCAGAACAAACUUUGUUUUGACACUGGGAAUUUGAGUGAUUCACAUCUCUUCAAUGGGAUCUGUCACUUGAAGCGGAAUGGAAUUGAGGGUCUGCGAAACUGCUGUUGAAUAUUCAUAGGCUGAAGUGGACUUGAACAUGGAUAAAUUUCCAAUGAUCAAUAAACUUUGGCUAUUUGAUAUCAGCGAUUCUAAGUUUUGCAAACAAAAAGCCCUCUCCUAACUAAUAUCUUAACUAUCUAAGAAUUAGAUCUCAAAUGAAGCGAGACAACCCGCUGAACUUAA
rnacentral:misc_RNA from 1 species